GACGAACGCUGGCGGCGUGCUUAACACAUGCAAGUCGAACGAAGUGGCGAACGGGUGAGUAACGCGUAAUCAACCUGCCCUUCAGAGGGGGUCAACAGUUGGAAACGACUGCUAAUACCGCAUACUGAAGGAGGGGAUUGCGUCUGAUUAGCUAGUUGGGGGGGUAACGGCCCACCAAGGCGAUGAUCAGUAGCCGGGCUGAGGGGAUGGACGGCCAAAUUUGGACUGAGACACGGCCCAGACUCCUACGGGGGGCAACAGUGGGGAAUCAUCCGAAAUGGAGGAAAGUCUGACGGAGCAACGCCGCGGGAGUGAUGACGGCCUUCGGGUUGUAAAGCUCUGUUAAUCGGGACGCGGUACCGGAAUAGAAAGCCACGGCUAACUACGUGCCAGCAGCCGCGGUAAUAC
rnacentral:rRNA from 1 species